GGGCUGGCCCUAUAGCUCAACGGUUCCUUAAUAGGAUCUCUGUUUAAUACCAGAACAAUCCUCUCGGGGGUUCCAAUGCCGCGGGCGCUAUCCAGCCCUUUC
rnacentral:vault_RNA from 1 species